ACGAACGCUGGCGGCGUGCCUAACACAUGCAAGUCGAGCGAGGUAUUUAUACCUAGCGGCGGACGGGUGAGUAACACGUGGGUAACCUGCCUCAGAGAGGGGAAUAGCCUUCCGAAAGGAAGAUUAAUACCGCAUAAUAUAUACUUUUAGCAUUAUGAGUAUAUCAAAGGAGAAAUCCGCUUUGAGAUGGGCCCGCGGCGCAUUAGCUAGUUGGAGAGGUAACGGCUCACCAAGGCGACGAUGCGUAGCCGACCUGAGAGGGUGAUCGGCCACAUUGGAACUGAGACACGGUCCAGACUCCUACGGGAGGCAGCAGUGGGGAAUAUUGCACAAUGGGGGAAACCCUGAUGCAGCAACGCCGCGUGAAUGAUGAAGGCCUUCGGGUCGUAAAGUUCUUUGAUUGGGGACGAUAAUGACGGUACCCAAAAAACAAGCCACGGCUAACUACGU
rnacentral:rRNA from 1 species